rnacentral:misc_RNA from 1 species
GAUGAAGAACGUAGCGAAAUGCGAUAAGUAAUGUGAAUUGCAGAAUUCAGUGAAUCAUCGAAUCUUUGAACGCACAUUGCGCCCAUUAGUAUUCUAGUGGGCAUGCCUGUUCGAGCGUCAUUAAGUCCACUUAAGCCUAGCUUAGUGUUGGGAGUCUACUCUGAGCGGUGCUACCCUGUAGUUACCCUGUAGUUCCUUAAAGACAGCGGCGGAGUUGUGAUACCCUCUGAGCUUAGUAAUUUUUUCCUAGCUUUCGAGUCGUCGCUUCCCCUGCCGUUAAACCCCUCUACCCUUGGUAGUUUUUAAUGGUUGACCUCGGAUCAGGUAGGAAUACCCGCUGAACUUAAGCAUAUCAAUAAGCGGAGGA